GACGAACGCUGGCGGCGUGCCUAAUACAUGCAAGUAGAACGCUGAAGAGAGGAGCUUUCUCUUCGUGGAUGAGGUGCGGACGGGUGAUGAAUGCGUAGUUAACCUGCCGGGUACUGGUGCAUAACUAUUGGAAGCGAUAGCUAAUACCGCAGAAAAUUGAUUGUUUCAUGAUAAUUAAUUGAAAGAUGCAACUGCAUCACGACCAGAUGGACCUGAGUUGUAUUAGCUAGUUGGUGAGGUAACGGCUCACCAAGGCGACGAGACAUAGCCCACCUCAGAGGGUGAUCGGCCACACUGGGAGUGAGACACGGCCCAGACUCCUACGGGAGGCAGCAGUAGGGAAUCUUCGGCAAUGGGGGGAACCCUGACCGAGCCACGCCGCGUGAGUGAAGAAGGUUUUCGGAUCGUAAAGCUCUGUUGUAAGAGAAGAACGGGUGUGAGAGUGGAAAGUUCACACUGUGACGGUAUCUUACCAGAAAGGGACGGCUAACUACGUG
rnacentral:rRNA from 1 species